AAAUACCGUGACCUUACUCGUUCGAACAUUCCCUUGAUCUAAGACCGCGAGUUUUACGAAACCCUGGGAAUCUAGAAUGGUGUAUACUGUCUGUGACCCUAGGAUUACUUUGUGUGGUUUGAUUGUGGUUUGUACAUUUUUUGACUGUUGUGUAAAGAUGACAACUCACAACUUUGAUUUGGGAAUUUUUAAUGGAAAGGGUGGCUUUGCUAUUUGGCAACAAAAAAUGAAGGGCAUUUUAGUCCAACAAAAGGUUUCAAAGGCCAUUGAAGGCAAUUUUUCAACUGAUUUUUUCACAAGAGCAAAGAGAAGAAGUCGAUGAGCUUGUUUAUACCUCAAUUAUUUUACACUUGUCUAACACCAUUUUAAGAAAGGUGGGUAAACUGAAAACCACUAAAGAAUUUUGGAAAAAAUUAGAAGACUUGUAUUUGUUUAAGUCUACAUCGAAUAAACUUUACCUGCUUGAACGUUUUUUUAGUUUCAAAAUGGAUCCUUCAAAAGAUCUUGAUAACAAUUUAAACGUGUUUAACAAAUUGGUGCAAGGUAUAGUUAAUUGUGAUGAGACUUGUCCGAAACUUAUAAGGCUAUAAUUUUGCUCAAUGUAAUUCCUGAUUCCUAUAAGGAAGUUAAGAACGCCAUUAAGUAUGGUAGAGACACGUUAACACCUAAAAUUGUCAUAGAUUCCCUUAGAAGUAAAGAAAUGAAAAUUAGGGCUGAAAAACAUGAUAAGAGGAACGGUGAGGUACAUAUGAUGCGGGGUAGAACUCAAUUUAGGCAAAAUAGUCAUGAUGGAUAUCAAACUAGUGGCGAGUCAAGUGGUAAUGGAUGGAAAAAGAAGAGCAAAUAUAGGUCUAGAUAAAAAUCUAGGACUAAGGCGAGAAAAUGCUAUGAUUGUGGAAACACAUGACAUUUUAUAAAAGAUUGUCAUAAGGAGAAAGGUAAGCUAAAGGUUAAGGAGAGAGAUAAGGUAAAUGUGUUAGCAUUUACUUCCGAUAUAAAUGGUGGUGAGGUCUAUAUGAUUACAAGUCCAGUUGUAUACACUGCUGAAUUAAAUCUAACUGCUAAUUUCCACAAGCAUGAGUGGAUACUUGACUCUGGUGCAUCUUUUCAUGUGACGUCUGAUAAGAAUUGGUUUUAUAAGUUGCAUGAAUCUAAUGUUGGGCAUGUUGUACUGUGUGAUAACUUUGCCUAUACUUUUGUUGGAAUUGGUGACAUAAACGUAAAAUUUGACACAGGUUUUGUGUAUACGUUAAAGAACGUUAGAUAUAUUCCUGAAUUGUCUAGGAAUCUGAUUUCAGUAGGGAGACUUGAGAAGGAUGACUUUACUGGUAAAAUUGGAAAUUGUAUGCUAAAAAUGAUCAAGUGUGCUUUAGUUUCCAUUAAGGGAAUUAAGAAAAACGAUAUAUAUAUAUAUUGCUACUAGGGAAGUGAUUAGAGGUGUGAAUUCCUCUAUCUCCUCUGCCAAGAUUGAUCACACACACACACGACAUAAUAGACUUGCUCACGUAGGGGUCAAGGGACUUAAGCUACUUAACGAAAAAGGUGCUUUUGGUAAUGACUGUGUGUUAGAUUUGCCAUCUUGUGAUCAUUGUGUGCUUAGUAAGUAUCAUAAAAUUUCUUUCUCCACGAGUGUUAAUAGAGCUAAAGGUAUGCUCGAAUAUGUGCACUCUGAUCUAUGGGGUCUUGCUAGUAAUCCCACAUCGGGUGAGAAUAGGUAUUUCCUGUUUAUUAUCGAUGACUACACUAGGAAAGUGUGUGUCUAUCUUUUGAAGGAUAAAUCUGAGACCUUUAAUAGUUUUAACAAUUGGAAAAGACAAGUGGAAAACCAAACUGGCAAGAAAAUCAAAUUUUUAGGACAGAUAACGGUCUAAAAUUUCGUAAUAAAGAAUUUGAUAGUAUGUGUAAAGAAAGCGGUAUAACUAAAUAUAAGACUGUUCCUUACACUCCUCAGCAAAAUGGGGUAGCAGAAAGAAUGAAUAUGACCAUACUUGAUAAAGUAUUUUACAUGGUGAUUAGUUCUGGUGUUCCCAAGUCAUUUUGGGGUGAGGCUGUUAUGACCGCUUGUUAUUUGAUUAAUCUAACUCCUUCUGCUACAUUGAAUGGUGACACUCCGCAUGAGAGAUGGUCGGGUAAACUGAGUGAUUACUCGAUACUUAGAAAUUUUGGCAGUGCAGCUUUUUCUCAUCAAAGUGGGGGUAAGUUGGAACCUAGAGUUAGGAAGUGUGUCUUUCUAAGAUACCCCGAGGGUGUUAAGGGUUAUAGGUUAUGGGAUAGAAGCCAAAAAGGGGUUAAAAUCAUCAUAAGUAGAGAUAUCACGUUUAACGAAAAUGAGAUGUCGUGUAUUAAAGGGGAAACUGAACCUGAGAGUGAAGCUGAACCAGGUGAAGAGAGAUACCAGUUUAAGGUGGAGUUAGGAAAACUCAGUCCACCUGCCCCUACUGUUUCAAAUGAGGUGGAUACUCAAACUCAGGAACCCGAGGUGGAGAAUAGUAACGUAAUAGUGACAGAAGAGCACUAUGAGGAAGAAAAUCCUUUAGCUAACUAUACUUAGUUAGGGAUGGAGAGAGGAGACAAACGAGAUAACCUAGAAGGUUCGGUUUUGAAUCUGAAUUAGCUUUCGCCCAUGCUAGUUAUGAAGAACUAGCUGAUAAAGAGCCAAAGACCUUUGAAGAGGCAAUAGGCAGUGAUCAAUCUAAUGAAUGACUUAAGGCAAUCAAAGAAGAGAUGAGUUCUCUAGAAAAGAAUCAUACUUGGGAGCUAGUACCUAGGCCUAAGAACAAAUCAAUUGUUGAUUGCAAAUGAGUCUUGAAGGUUAAGGAAGGUUCUAGCAGCUCGAAACUCCUAAGGUUUAAAGUUAGGUUAGUAGCUAAAGGCUAUACACAGAAGGAGGACGUUGAUUAUAAUGAAAUUUUCUCACCAGUUGUUAAGUACACCACUAUUAGGGUCAUGCUCGCAUUGGUUGCACACUUUGACUGGGAACUUGAACAACUUGACGUAAAAACUGUUUUUUUACAUGGUGAGCUUGAUGAACAAAUUUUCAUGAAUCAACCAAAAGGUUUUAAGAAUAAGUCAAAACCUGAUUAUGUGUGUUUUCUGAGAAGAUUCUUGUAUGGGUUAAAACAAUCUCCUAGACAGUGGUACAAGAGGUUUGAUUCCUUUGUACUCACUAUAGGGUUCCAAAGAAGUAAAUUUGAUCACUGCCUGUAUUUUUAACACAAUGAGACUGAUGAUAAUUAUCUAUUUUUGUUGCUCUAUGUGGACGACAUGCUUUUGAUUGGAUCAUCCUCUAAUUGGAUAAAUAACAUAAAAGCAAAAUUAAGUGGUGAAUUUGACAUGAAAGACCUAAAUAAGGCUAAGAGAAUCUUAGGUAUUGAAAUCGAAAGAAAUAGGUCAAAUUUUGUAUUGUUUUUGCAUCAGUCUCCAUACAUAUACAAAGUAUUGAAAAAAUUUAAUAUGAGUGAUUGCAAACCUGUCACGUUGCCUCUUGCUAAUCAUUUUGUUUUAUCGAAGGAACAAUCCCCUUGCAAUGAGCGUGAAGUAGAAUACAUGAGUAGAGUGCCUUACUCUAAUGUGAUUGGUUCCAUAAUGUAUUUGAUGGUUUGCACUAGACCGAAUUUAGGUUUUGCUGUUAGUACUCUCAGUAGAUAUAUGGCUAAUCCGGCACUGAACAUUGGGAAGUACUAAAGUGGCUAUUAAAGUACUUGAAGAGUACGAGUGACGUAGGUUUAAAGUUUAGUGCUAAUAAAGAAGAUAUAAAAUUAAAGGGUUUUAUAGAUGCUGACUACGCGAGAGAUAGGGAUGGUAGGAAAUCUACUUCGUCUUACGUGUUUACCUUAUCUAAUUCAUGUGUUAGUUGGAAAUCACAGUUACAACAUAUUGUUGUACUAUUCACUACAGAAUCAGAAUAUAUUGCUACCACUGAAGCUAUUAAAGAAGCUCUACGGUUUAGUGGCCUUCUUCAUGAACUAUGUGUCUUGAAUGAUUAUAUGGUAGUAUAUUCUGAUAAUCAGUCAUCUAUAUAUUUAUGUAAGAACCCCGUUUUUCACGAGCCCACUAAAUACAUUGAUGUUAGACUUCACUUCAUUAGAGAUAUAGUAUCUCAAGAGGUGGUAAGACUUGAAAAGGUCCACACCUACUACAACCCCUCUGAUAUGGGGACGAAGGUACUGCCAUUGACAAAGUUUAGAAGUUACAAGGAACUUCUAAACAUUGGUAGGUAAAUGAUUUCCAAUUUUAUCGGUUUUCUAUUAGAGGUGUCACUAAUGGGAGAUUUUUUAUUUUUUUUUUAUUUUUUUUUUCUGCAGGUCCUUGGACACCAAGGUGGAGGUUGUUAUGCAAUUUGUUGUCAAACGACCCCCGGAACUAUGAUGUAACCUCGGUUCUAUUAUCAAUCGACCUUGGUCAUAUGAUUGAUUAGUAUAUUUACAUAAUUAUCGAGACAACUCAAUCCACAUUCCUAUGGACCGUUCAAAGCAACCUAUUGUUAAUAGUGUUGCUCACGGUUCGUCUCAUUUCCUUGGAAGGCUAUGUUAUUAAUUUGAAGCCCAUUAAUAUUGAGUCGAGCGUUGUUUGGUCCACUAAAUAACCCUAACCUAACUUACCUUGUUUGGAUAUUUUACUUGGCUUAUAUUCUUGUCUUCCUCUCGGCCUCUAAUGUAGAAUGCCCAACCUCUCUCUGUGAGACUCACCUCUAGGUUUUCAUCUCUUCUUUGUGACCUUUGUGAUUAAUUGCUGGUGGGCAUAUUAUUGUACUUCAUCUUCCCAACUAUAGCAACCGGAAGUGGGGCGUCCUUGGUGGUGGUAUUGGAGUUGUCUCAAUCCUUGGUGGUGUCGACUAAAUAGGUGAAAUUGAGCUCGAUUUGAACUUGGUGUUUGCUGGAAAUAGGCACUACACUCCUAAAUUGUUUUCUUGUAUUCAUUGUUUCUAAAAUAUUUGUCUUAUUCUAUCAAUCUUCAGAGAUAGAAUAUGACCUCUCUUAUGUUCUCUCCUCUUUGUAUUUUGGGUUGUCUUCGCUAGUGUACAAGUUAGCCAACUUAUUUGUUUUAUUAUAUCCUGGAGGAAAUUUUCGUUUUAGCAUAAGUACAUCACAUUUUAAUGGGGGCAAAUACUAUCUUAACGAGAACAACUGAGCCAUGGGCCUUGAAACAUUUCCAUUCAAGUAUAUUUGUAGCUGUUCAAGAGGUUUCUUCCACUACAAGUUGGGUAUGAUUACUACACUGAAGAGUUCAGCACCAACACAAAAAAAAAAAAUAAUAAUAAUAAAUAAAAAAUAAAAAAAAUAAAAAAAUAAAUAAUAAACCCAACCCUACAGCACUAAGAAUAAAAGAAUCUAAGUACUCCCAGUAAAUGUUGAUGUUGGUAAUCAUCUGAUUGUCUACAGUUGUACGUGUCGAAACUUGAAACAAAAUUAGAAAUUUUAGAAUUUGAAAACCUAAAUUCCUUUAUUACCAAGAUCCUCCAUAUCAAAUUACCAAGAAAAUUAAUAAUGCGGAACAUACCUUAAUUUUUAAGAAAUGAUUAUUUAUUAAUUUGAAUCAUCUGCAUCUGCAUUAAAUAAUUUCAAUUCUCAUAAACUUCAAAUAAUUCAAAUUGAACAAAGAUUUCAU
rnacentral:lncRNA from 1 species